AAUCAACGCUGGCGGCGUGCCUAACACAUGCAAGUCGAACGCGAAAAGGGCUUCGGCUCUUAGUAGAGUGGCAAACGGGUGAGUAACACGUGGGUGACCUACCUUCGAAUGGGGGAUAACGUCCCGAAAGGGACGCUAAUACCGCAUAACAUCCUGCCUUUGAACAGGUGGAGAUCAAAGCCGGGGAUCGCAAGACCUGGCGUUUGAAGGGGGGCCCGCGUCUGAUUAGCUAGUUGGGAGGUAACGGCUCACCAAGGCGACGAUCAGUAUCCGGCCUGAGAGGGCGGACGGACACACUGGGACUGAGACACGGCCCAGACUCCUACGGGAGGCAGCAGUGGGGAAUUGUUCGCAAUGGGCGCAAGCCUGACGACGCAACGCCGCGUGGAGGAUGAAGGUCUUCGGAUUGUAAACUCCUGUUGCCCGGGACGAAAAGCCUUCGACCUAACACGUCGGAGUCUGACCGGUACCGGGUGAGGAAGCCCCGGCUAACUCUGUGCCAGCCGCCGCCGUAAG
rnacentral:rRNA from 1 species